AGAGUUUGAUCCUGGCUCAGGAUGAACGCUAGCUACAGGCUUAACACAUGCAAGUCGAGGGGCAUCAGGAAGAAAGCUUGCUUUCUUUGCUGGCGACCGGCGCACGGGUGAGUAACACGUAUCCAACCUGCCCUUUACUCGGGGAUAGCCUUUCGAAAGAAAGAUUAAUACCCGAUAGCAUAAUGAUUCCGCAUGGUUUCAUUAUUAAAGGAUUCCGGUAAAGGAUGGGGAUGCGUUCCAUUAGGUUGUUGGUGGGGUAACGGCCCACCAAGCCUUCGAUGGAUAGGGGUUCUGAGAGGAAGGUCCCCCACAUUGGAACUGAGACACGGUCCAAACUCCUACGGGAGGCAGCAGUGAGGAAUAUUGGUCAAUGGGCGCUAGCCUGAACCAGCCAAGUAGCGUGAAGGAUGAAGGCUCUAUGGGUCGUAAACUUCUUUUAUAUAAGAAUAAAGUGCAGUAUGUAUACUGUUUUGUAUGUAUUAUAUGAAUAAGGAUCGGCUAACUCCGUGCCAGCAGCCGCGGUAAUACGGAGGAUCCGAGCGUUAUCCGGAUUUAUUGGGUUUAAAGGGAGCGUAGGUGGACUGGUAAGUCAGUUGUGAAAGUUUGCGGCUCAACCGUAAAAUUGCAGUUGAUACUGUCAGUCUUGAGUACAGUAGAGGUGGGCGGAAUUCGUGGUGUAGCGGUGAAAUGCUUAGAUAUCACGAAGAACUCCGAUUGCGAAGGCAGCUCACUGGACUGCAACUGACACUGAUGCUCGAAAGUGUGGGUAUCAAACAGGAUUAGAUACCCUGGUAGUCCACACAGUAAACGAUGAAUACUCGCUGUUUGCGAUAUACAGUAAGCGGCCAAGCGAAAGCAUUAAGUAUUCCACCUGGGGAGUACGCCGGCAACGGUGAAACUCAAAGGAAUUGACGGGGGCCCGCACAAGCGGAGGAACAUGUGGUUUAAUUCGAUGAUACGCGAGGAACCUUACCCGGGCUUAAAUUGCAGUGGAAUGAUGUGGAAACAUGUCAGUGAGCAAUCACCGCUGUGAAGGUGCUGCAUGGUUGUCGUCAGCUCGUGCCGUGAGGUGUCGGCUUAAGUGCCAUAACGAGCGCAACCCUUAUCUUCAGUUACUAACAGGUCAUGCUGAGGACUCUGGAGAGACUGCCGUCGUAAGAUGUGAGGAAGGUGGGGAUGACGUCAAAUCAGCACGGCCCUUACGUCCGGGGCUACACACGUGUUACAAUGGGGGGUACAGAAGGCAGCUAGCGGGUGACCGUAUGCUAAUCCCAAAAGCCUCUCUCAGUUCGGAUCGAAGUCUGCAACCCGACUUCGUGAAGCUGGAUUCGCUAGUAAUCGCGCAUCAGCCACGGCGCGGUGAAUACGUUCCCGGGCCUUGUACACACCGCCCGUCAAGCCAUGGGAGCCGGGGGUACCUGAAGUACGUAACCGCAAGGAUCGUCCUAGGGUAAAACUGGUGACUGGGGCUAAGUCGUAACAAGGUAGCCGUACCGGAAGGUGCGGCUG
rnacentral:rRNA from 1 species